GAUGAACGCUGGCGGCGUGCCUAAUACAUGCAAGUCGAGCGGACGGACGAGAAGCUUGCUUCUCUGAUGUUAGCGGCGGACGGGUGAGUAACACGUGGAUAACCUACCUAUAAGACUGGGAUAACUUCGGGAAACCGGAGCUAAUACCGGAUAAUAUUUUGAACCGCAUGGUUCAAAAGUGAAAGACGGUCUUGCUGUCACUUAUAGAUGGAUCCGCGCUGCAUUAGCUAGUUGGUAAGGUAACGGCUUACCAAGGCAACGAUGCAUAGCCGACCUGAGAGGGUGAUCGGCCACACUGGAACUGAGACACGGUCCAGACGCCUACGGGAGGCAGCAGUAGGGAAUCUUCCGCAAUGGGCGAAAGCCUGACGGAGCAACGCCGCAUGAGUGAUGAAGGUCUUCGGAUCGUAAAACUCUGUUAUUAGGGAAGAACAUAUGUGUAAGUAACUGUGCACAUCUUGACGGUACCUAAUCAGAAAGCCCCGGCUAACUACGUG
rnacentral:rRNA from 1 species